CCAUCACUCCUUCCUUGGUAGAGUACCACAUUGGUUGCCUUAUCCUGUAUGAAAAACACAGUAUCAUCACAUAUAAACCAGCAGUCAUUAUCAUGACAUAAUUUCUUUAGUGAUAAAAGAUUCACAGUAAUAUGUGGGACAUGCAAAACAUUUUUUAGGAAUAAACAAUGAUCCGGAGUAAAAAGAUUAGUAGAACAAAUAUGCUUCACAUCCAAACCUUUACCAUUUCUAAUGACUAUCUUUUCAUCACCAUUGUAUGCAGUAACUUGGUUCAUAUUAUUGAGAUUCGCUGUCAUAUGGUGAGUAGCUCUAGUAUCGAGCACCCAUGUGUCAGCAGCAGAAAACCCAUGUGGUUGAGACUCACUUGAUGCUGGAGAGAAACUAGAUUGACCAUGUGUAGAUAAGGCAGUGAGUGAUGGAGGUGGUGGAGCCCCUUGAUAUGCAUAAUUGUUCCUGUGAAAACACUCUAAUGCAGUAUGACCCUUCUUUCCACAAAUCUGACACACCAAGAUUGGAUACUGAUUGGCAUUAGUAGUACUUGUGAAAUGAGAAUUAGGUGCAGUGUGACCUCUCCGUGAGCAUAUUUGACAUUCAGGAGUAAUUGAUGAUCUAUAAGUAGUAUUCCCAUUCCAAUUCUGCCAAUUUGAACCACUAUUUGAUCCACCAUUAGAUGACUGACCAUUAAAAUUUGACUGAGAAUUUCGACCUGGAUCAGAGAAAGUGCUAUUCGACCCCUUAUUCUUGUUGCCAAAGUAAGGUUUUGAAACAUUAUUUCCAUAAGAGUUCCUGUUAGAAUUGAAUGACCCUCUAUUCUGAGAAGGAAAAGUCCUCUGAUUACUGCCAGUAAACCCAUAUCCUCCUUGAUAGUCAGUAGCCCCUAUGUUGGAACUUUCACCUCCUUGAUAACCACUAGCCCCCAUAGCGGAGCUUUCACCAUGAUAAGUACCAUUUGCUUGAUAGGAACCAGUAUGUCCUUUACCAUUAUCCCCAUUCAUAUACAUUGCUACCAUUGAACUUGUAAGAGCUGAAACUCUAGAUUCUAUGGUAAGUUUAGCACUAAGAAGCUGUGCACGAAAAUCUUUCAAAGAAAUUGGUGUCUCUCUUGCCAAAAUCACAAUUCUAAUCAUAUCAAAUUCCUGUGGUAAUCCAGUUAAAACAACAAUAACUAGAUCAUUUUCUGAAACCCUUUCUCCAGUAGAGAUUAACUGAUCUUUUAUAGCCUUUAAUUUCAACAAAAAUUUAUCAAUCGAAUCCUCUCCUUUCUGUGCAGUAUGAAACUCAGUCUUUAACUGAUUUAUUCUCGAAACUGACGCAGAUGCAUAACGAUCUUGUAAAGCAUUCCAUGCUUCCUGUGAUGUUUUACAGCCAAUAACAUGUUUCAUUGCAUCAUCAGAUAAAGUGACAAUAAGCAAACUGAGUAAAGCCAUAUCCUUUUUAACCCAAUUCUUAUAAGCAGUAGUGAUCUCUCUCGUCACACCAAUUUCAGUAUGUAUGAUAUAUUUAGGUGGACUGGAUUAUCACCAGUAAAGAAAUCCAGUAAGUCAUACCCACGCAAAACAGAUUGAAACUGAAAAUUCCACUUAACAAAAUUAUCAUCUUGCAACUUCACAGUGAGCAUGCCCAAAAGAUUUUUGAUCUUCACAGAUUCUAUGGUAUUUUCAGACAUAGUGACAAUCAAGAUUUCAAGAAUUUCUCAACCAAGAUUUCAUAUAUGAUGAACAAACAAGAUCAAUUCAAGUGACCCUGUUUGGCAAUCGGCCUUUAACAGAGGAGAUAUAUCAGAUUACUACAAACUUCAAUUCAAGCAACCCUCUUUGGCAAUCAGCCUUUAACAGAGGAAAUAUAUCAGACUACUACAAACUUUACUGACUCCAGCAAUCGGCUUUUAAGGAGAGAGUAUACAAAUCAGGAAGAAAAUGGCAAUCGGCCUUUGUAAACAUUCAAUUGGCUAUCGGCCUUGUAAAGUAAUGAAAAUAACAAAAAGAAAACUCACUGAGACAAAACAACAAACACCUGGCGUGCACUGCUCUUCAUGUCCCAAGAAACCUCCAUAUACAAGCAUGUAAACCUUUUCCAAGAGACCGACGUUUCUCAGAGAUCAACAAUCUUCCAGAGAUGCUACAACGGAAACCAAACGAUCACCCAUGGCGAUGAUACCAUAUUAACACUACACUAUGAAUCGAAGAAGAACAACAAAAUAAUACCAAGUUGUAAAGAAGUAUAGAGAGAGAGAGAGAGAGAGAGAGAGUGAGAGAGAAAAUGAAUGAGGAUUUGUAUAUUUCAGAAAUCAAUUUAAUACAAGUCUAAGAGAAGCUUUCUAUUUAUACAGGUUUGUUUCUAUCUUCAUAAGUUUCUAACAAACUAAUAACCACCUUAUAGCUUCCUACAAUCCCAACUAUCUAACUUACUAGCUGAUGUAGAUAACAACCUUGUUGAUGUGGAUUGCUGAUGUGGUAUGUUGCUUAUGUGUAUAUCAUUCAACACUAUGGAGGAUAAAAUACAAAAAGAAAAUUAAAUGAACAUCUAUAGUUAGAUUAUGAUCGAAUGAUGAGUGACAAUAAUUUUCUUAAACUCCGGAAUCUAGGAGAACAUGUAUGUACAAUACUAUAUAGUGUAUACAUUAGAAGUCCCAAUAAAGUAUUACUGUAUUAAGCAGCCAGGCUGCCUUGCCUUGCUUUGCUCUCUCUCAUAAUAAAAGGGCUGCAAAAUUAGAUGGCGGGUGUGUAUACGUGUGUAGUAAUAUAUUGGUGUGAGACGAGUAGAUGGAUCGAUGGGGGCUGCUUUUCAUUGAAUAUGUUCUCAAGCCAAAUCAUGCUCUGAAGAUUUGCAUGUCUCUGGACUGUACAUGAUAAAGGUUCAGUGCUAGAGCAUGUCCAACAUGAAUUUACAGCUAGGUUAAGAUCGAUCUUGGACCAU
rnacentral:lncRNA from 1 species